rnacentral:tRNA from 1 species
GAAGAUAUAGCUCAGUGGUAGAGUGCACACCUAGCACACACAAUGUCCAGGGUUCAAUCCCCAGUACCUCCA